UGGAUCCACCAUGGCCUGGGUCCCCCUGCUCUUCGCCCUGCUCACCUACUGCUCGGGUUCUCUGGCCCAGUACGUGCUGACUCAGCCGCCCUCAGUGUCUGUGUCUCCAGGGCAAAACGCUCAACUCACCUGCUCAGGGAAUAACAUUGGUAGCAAGAAUGUGCAGUGGUACCAACAGAAACCUGGAAGUGCCCCCCUAUUCCUGAUAUAUGAAAGUAGCAAAAGACCCUCUGGAAUCCCUGAGCGAUUCUCUGGCGCCAACUCUGGGAACACGGCCACGUUAACCAUCACUGGGGUCCAGGCGCAGGACGAGGCUGAUUAUUACUGUAUGGUAUGGGAUAGCAGUGCUCUGUCUCACAGUGACACAGCCUGA